CCGAUGUAGCUCAGCUGGCAGAGCAGCUCAUUCGUAAUGAGCAGGUCAAGGGUUCAAAUCCCUUCAUCGG
rnacentral:tRNA from 1 species